rnacentral:rRNA from 1 species
AUUGAACGCUGGCGGCAUGCUUUACACAUGCAAGUCGAACGAGUGGCGAACGGGGGAGUAAUAGAUCGGAACGUACCGAGUAAUGGGGGAUAACCAAUCGAAAGAUUGGCUAAUACCGCAUAUUAUUCGAGCAGCCGAUAUCUGAUUAGCUAGUUGUUGGGGUAAAGGCCUACCAAGGCGACGAACAGUAGCGGGCCUGAGAGAACGAUCCGCCACACUGGGACUGAGACACGGCCCAGACUCCUACGGGAGGCAGCAGUGGGGAAUUUUGGACAAUGGGGGCAACCCUGAUCCAGCCAUGCCUCGUGUAUGAAGAAGGCCCUUGGGUUGUAAAGUACUCUUGUUAGGGAAGCGGUAUCUAAAGAAUAAGCCCCGGCUAACUACGUGCCAGCAGCCGCGGUAAUAC